rnacentral:tRNA from 1 species
GCGCUAGUGGUGAAAUUGGUAGACACGCUGGAUUUAGGUUCCAGUGCCGCAAGGUGUGAAGGUUCAAGUCCUUCCUGGCGCACCA